GACGAACGCUGGCGGCGUGCCUAACACAUGCAAGUCGAGCGGAGAAACAAAAGAGCAGCUUGCUGCGAUUUGUUUCUUAGCGGCGGACGGGUGAGUAACGCGUGGGUAAUCUGCCUCAAACAGGGGGAUAACACAGGGAAACUUGUGCUAAUACCGCAUAAGACCCCACCAUGGCAUCAUGGAGAGGUCAAAGGAAGAAAUUCCGGUUUGAGAUGAGCCCGCGUCUGAUUAGCUAGUUGGUGAGGUAACGGCUCACCAAGGCGACGAUCAGUAGCCGAACUGAGAGGUUGAUCGGCCACAUUGGGACUGAGACACGGCCCAGACUCCUACGGGAGGCAGCAGUGGGGAAUAUUGCACAAUGGGGGAAACCCUGAUGCAGCGACGCCGCGUGAAGGAAGAAGGCCCUCGGGUUGUAAACUUCUUUGACCAGGGACGAAGAAAGUGACGGUACCUGGAGAACAAGCCACGGCUAACUACGUG
rnacentral:rRNA from 2 species